CAAGCGUUAUCCGGAAUUAUUGGGCGUAAAGAGCUCGUAGGCGGUUUGUCGCGUCUGCUGUGAAAACCCGAGGCUCAACCUCGGGCCUGCAGUGGGUACGGGCAGACUAGAGUGCGGUAGGGGAGAUUGGAAUUCCUGGUGUAGCGGUGGAAUGCGCAGAUAUCAGGAGGAACACCGAUGGCGAAGGCAGAUCUCUGGGCCGUAACUGACGCUGAGGAGCGAAAGGGUGGGGAGCAAACAGGCUUAGAUACCCUGGUAGUCCACCCCGUAAACGUUGGGAACUAGUUGUGGGGUCCAUUCCACGGAUUCCGUGACGCAGCUAACGCAUUAAGUUCCCCGCCUGGGGAGUACGGCCGCAAGGCUAAAACUCAAAGGAAUUGACGGGGACCCGCACAAGCGGCGGAGCAUGCGGAUUAAUUCGAUGCAACGCGAAGAACCUUACCAAGGCUUGACAUAUACGAGAACGGGCCAGAAAUGGUCAACUCUUUGGACACUCGUAAACAGGUGGUGCAUGGUUGUCGUCAGCUCGUGUCGUGAGAUGUUGGGUUAAGUCCCGCAACGAGCGCAACCCUCGUUCUAUGUUGCCAGCACGUAAUGGUGGGAACUCAUGGGAUACUGCCGGGGUCAACUCGGAGGAAGGUGGGGAUGACGUCAAAUCAUCAUGCCCCUUAUGUCUUGGGCUUCACGCANGCUACAAUGGCCGGUACAAUGGGCUGCAAUACCGUAAGGUGGAGCGAAUCCCAAAAAGCCGGUCCCAGUUCGGAUUGAGGUCUGCAACUCGACCUCAUGAAGUCGGAGUCGCUAGUAAUCGCAGAUCAGCA
rnacentral:rRNA from 1 species